rnacentral:tRNA from 1 species
GGAGAUGUAGCUCAGAGGUGGAGCUCUUGCCUCGCACAUGCAAGGGCCUGGGUUCAAGUCCCAGCAGUAUUA